rnacentral:tRNA from 1 species
CAGGAUGUAGCUCAAUGGCAGAGCCCCGGUUUUGGGAACCGGUUACGGAGGUUCGAUUCCUCCCAUCUUGA